rnacentral:rRNA from 1 species
UGAGUAACACGUGAGGAACCUGCCUCAAAGAGGGGGACAACAGUUGGAAACGACUGCUAAUACCGCAUAAGCCCACGGCUCGGCAUCGAGCAGAGGGAAAAGGAGCAAUCCGCUUUGAGAUGGCCUCGCGUCCGAUUAGCUAGUUGGUGAGGUAACGGCCCACCAAGGCGACGAUCGGUAGCCGGACUGGGAGGUUGAACGGCCACAUUGGGACUGAGACACGGCCCAG